UAUUCAACCAGGAACACCUGGCGACACGGCUGCCCGUCUUCUUGCAGUCUUGAGGGGGAGACGGGAAACCAAAGCAGGAGGGAAGGUAGGAAACAUGGGGGAAUUCAGAGAGAGGUGAGGAAGAGGGCGGGAGGGCAGGGCGGGGUGCGUGCACAGGUAGAUUCUGGGAAGGCACCCACACACAGAAUCCAUCUCUGGCCUGACUUGGUGGCCGCAGGAACAUCGAAGAAAGACCACAGGUCUUUGAGACAUUUCAGUCCUUCCUGUCAUGAAGCGGCUGCCAAGAAAGGCCGGCCAGGAGCCUUCAGGACCCUGCCUCUAGGGCUCACUGGCACUGAGCCAAGGCGGCUUUGAUGGCAGUCACCAGUUUCCGGAACUUGCUCUCUGUAUCCACGACUCUGAUUUACCUUCUUGGAGUGAACCAACUUCCCGGCUACCGUCACUUCAAAGAACCCGGUGACCUGGGGAGUCCCCUCGCCACACUGAGGAAAGAAGGCAUUAAGAGGGGGCACUGGGACUUACCAAUACACGACUCGAACGGCUAGCGCCAUUGCUGCACGUCGCAUCCCCGCACAAAGCGAGGACCCGACCCACUAGCAGCAAGGACUUCAAUCUCUGCGC
rnacentral:lncRNA from 1 species